rnacentral:rRNA from 1 species
CAAUAGCGUAUAUUAAAGUUGUUGCAGUUAAAAGCUCGUAGUUGGAUCUCGGACCCCGGCUCGCGGUCCGCCUCACGGCGUGUUACUGCCCGUCCGGGGUCUACCUGCCGGCUUGCAGGGGGGAGGCGAUCCUCCCACCUUUCCCUUUCGGUGCUCUUGACUGAGUGUCUCGGGGGCCGGGAACGUUUACUUUGAAAAAUUAAGAGUGUUCAAAGCAGGCGAUUCGCCUGAAUAGUGGUGCAUGGAAUAAUGGAAUAGGACCUCGGUUCUAUUUUGUUGGUGUUCUUUCGGAACUCGAGGUAAUGAUUAAGAGGGACAGACGGGGGCAUUCGUAUUGCGGUGUUAGAGGUGAAAUUCUUGGAUCGCCGCAAGACGAACUACUGCGAAAGCAUUUGCCAAGAAUGUUUUCUAUUAAUCAAGAACGAAAGUCAGAGGUUCGAAGAUGAUCAGAUACCGU